rnacentral:rRNA from 1 species
GAUGAACGCUGGCGGUAUGCUUAACACAUGCAAGUCGAACGGACUCUUCGGAGUUAGUGGCGGACGGGUGAGUAACGCGUGAGAAUCUGGCUUUGGGUUCGGGACAACCACUGGAAACGGUGGCUAAUACCGGAUGUGCCGAGAGGUAAAAGAGAAAUUGCCUGAAGAUGAGCUCGCGUCUGAUUAGCUAGUUGGUGAGGUAAAGGCACACCAAGGCAGCGAUCAGUAGCAGGUCUGAGAGGAUGACCGGCCACACUGGGACUGGGACACGGCCCAGACGCCUACGGGAGGCAGCAGGGGGGAAUUUUCCGCAAAGGGCGAAAGACUGACGGAGCAAUACCGCGUGAGAGAAGAAGGCUCUUGGGUUGUAAACCUCUUUACUUAGGGAAGAACAAAAUGACGGUACCUAAGGAAUCAGCAUCGGCUAACUCCGUG